CAAUUAAUUGCAAGGCAAAAUAACGCUUACGACGUAAAUUUCCCUAGGCGCGCUUCUCGAUUAUUCAUAAUUAGAAUCACGACGGAGCAUCCAAUCGAGACAGUCUCUGAUAAAAGAUGCUCGAGCUCGAAGUCUGACAAGGCUGAAACCUUCUGCCUUGUUCAUCGAGUCUGAAAGGUAGAGUGGCCAAGAGUACCGAGUAUACAUAUCGAUUUCGCAGUCGAAAGAACUCGUCUAUUACUGCUCGUACCGCUUUGCCAUCCAGAUUUCUUUCCGCGUUUCGAAUCGAUCGAAGGCCAAUGUCGAUGUCAAGCCGAUACUUUGACUUCUUUCCUCUUUUUCUUCCACUCUUUUUCUUCGACUCGAUUGACAACGUGAAACGACAGAGAGCAACUUCAGUAACUGGAGUCUCACGGGAAAAGCUAAAAUGUGACUUCUUCCUCGAACUUCUCGAGUAUCUGCACCGUGACGAUGAUAUCUGGCAAAAGUAAAACAUUCUGAGAUUCGAAAGUCAUAUUC
rnacentral:misc_RNA from 1 species